rfam:Takifugu rubripes chromosome, Chr_11
AAAAUGGCCUUUCUAAAGGCCAUACCUAUACUUAAACAUCCAUUAU